rnacentral:rRNA from 1 species
AUUGAACGCUGGCGGCAUGCCUUACACAUGCAAGUCGAACGGCAGCACGGGUGCUUGCCCCUGGUGGCGAGUGGCGAACGGGUGAGUAAUACAUCGGAACAUGUCCUGUAGUGGGGGAUAGCCCGGCGAAAGCCGGAUUAAUACCGCAUACGAUCUACGGAUGAAAGCGGGGGACCUUCGGGCCUCGCGCUAUAGGGUUGGCCGAUGGCUGAUUAGCUAGUUGGUGGGGUAAAGGCCUACCAAGGCGACGAUCAGUAGCUGGUCUGAGAGGACGACCAGCCACACUGGGACUGAGACACGGCCCAGACUCCUACGGGAGGCAGCAGUGGGGAAUUUUGGACAAUGGGCGAAAGCCUGCUCCAGCAAUGCCGCGUGUGUGAAGAAGGCCUUCGGGUUGUAAAGCACUUUUGUCCGGAAAGAAAUCCUUGGCCCUAAUACGGUCGGGGGAUGACGGUACCGGAAGAAUAAGCACCGGCUAACUACGUG